GGACGAUAAUGACGGUACUUUAGGAGGAAGCUCCGGCUAACUACGUGCCAGCAGCCGCGGUAAUACGUAGGGAGCGAGCGUUGUCCGGAAUUACUGGGUGUAAAGGGAGCGUAGGCGGGACUGCAAGUCAGAUGUGAAAUGCCGGGGCUUAACCCCGGAGCUGCAUUUGAAACUGUGGUUCUUGAGUGAAGUAGAGGCAAGCGGAAUUCCUGGUGUAGCGGUGAAAUGCGUAGAUAUCAGGAGGAACACCGGUGGCGAAGGCGGCUUGCUGGGCUUUUACUGACGCUGAGGCUCGAAAGCGUGGGUAGCAAACAGGAUUAGAUACCCUGGUAGUCCACGCUGUAAACGAUGAUUACUAGGUGUGGGGGGACUGACCCCUUCCGUGCCGCAGUUAACACAAUAAGUAAUCCACCUGGGGAGUACGGCCGCAAGGUUGAAACUCAAAGGAAUUGACGGGGGCCCGCACAAGCAGUGGAGUAUGUGGUUUAAUUCGAAGCAACGCGAAGAACCUUACCAGGUCUUGACAUCGUGCGCAUAGCAUAGAGAUAUGUGAAAUUCCUUCGGGAACGCAUAGACAGGUGGUGCAUGGUUGUCGUCAGCUCGUGUCGUGAGAUGUUGGGUUAAGUCCCGCAACGAGCGCAACCCUUACCUUUAGUUGCUACGCAAGAGCACUCUAAAGGGACUGCCGUUGACAAAACGGAGGAAGGUGGGGAUGACGUCAAAUCAUCAUGCCCCUUAUGACCUGGGCUACACACGUACUACAAUGGCAAUCAACAAAGAGAAGCAAGACAGUGAUGUGGAGCGAAUCUCAAAAAAUUGUCCCAGUUCACAUUGC
rnacentral:rRNA from 1 species